rnacentral:rRNA from 1 species
AAGCCUAAGCACUUUGGAGCGGCGAUUUUGUAUCAGCUAGUUGGUGAGGUAAUGGCUCACCAAGGCGAUGACGCAUAGCCGGACUGAGAGGUUGGCCGGCCACAUUGGGACUGAGACACUGCCCAGACUCCUACGGGGGGCUGCAGUAACGAAUCUUCCGCAAUGCACGAAAGUGUGACGGAGCGACGCCGCGUGGAGGACGAAGUUCUUCGGAAUGUAAACUCCUGUCAGGGGAAAGAAAGUUCUGAUCUACCCCAGAGGAAGAGGCGGCUAACUCUGUGCCAGCAGCCGCGGUAAUACAGAGGCCUCGAGCGUUAGGCGGAAUCACUGGGCUUAAAGCGUGUGUAGGCGGAUGAGUAAGUACCUUGUGAAAUCCCACGGCUUAACCGUGGAACUGCUUGGUAUACUGCUUGUCUUGGGCUAUUUAGGGGUCACUGGAACAAAUGGUGGAGCGGUGAAAUGCGUAGAUAUCAUUUGGAACGCCAAUGGUGAAAACAGGUGACUGGGAAUAUGCCGACGCUGAGACACGAAAGCCAGGGGAGCAAACGGGAUUAGAUACCCCGGUAGUCCUGGCCGUAAACAAUGUCCACUAGAUCGUAGCCCUCUGACGGUGUUACGGUCGAAGUAAAAAUGUUAAGUGGACCGCC